UGUUUUCUUCACCUUAGUAAGAUAUUUUGUAGCCUCGGUUUCAAGUCCGGAUUUCAAGCACAGCUCCAAGAAUUUGAAUUUGUACCUCGGGUCAAGAAUGACUGGAAGACAAAUGCUCAAGUACGACAGUUUCCAGUAUUUCAUGAACUUGGUCUUCAUCACUUGAACCAUAGAUCUAAUGGCAGCUUCCUCAUUGUUUGCCUCUCUUUCCAAGGCUGACAUGUGUAUGACGUAUCUUGCAACUUCAAAGCGGCAAAUGCCUUCCUAUACUCUAAAGCUGUCUUGAUCAUCAGAUGAGUGGAAUUCCACCUUGUAGCAACAUCUAAAGUAACUUUCUUUUUACAUUUGAUUCCCUCCUGUA